CUCAUGAGUCUCCUCUUCUUUUCCGUAAAUCGGUCCACGACUUCUCCUCAAUCUUGACACUCGUCAAUCGCUGCUCUGGACUUCACUCACUGUCAUUUCUCCAUUUCCCUAUUUAGGGCUUGCCACACAGUGCCAGAGGAGGGUAGAUCGGGAGGGAAGACCCUCCGUGAUCGAAGAGGAAGUCGAGCUAUCUGCUUACUAGAGCCCUAGUUGGCUUCUUAGCCUCAUCUUCGGUGUCGGGAAGCUCAUCUCUUUCAUUUUCCAGUCUGACAGCAACUCCAUUUAGUCUUCUGCUUCCUAAACUCCUCUUCGGAUUACCUCUCCGACCAAGACUACAGCCCCAAGACCAUAGCCCUUGAUAUGGUUUGGGUUCAGACAGCACCACACAUGAAAUUCUACCCAACGCCUUUGUCCUCGUGGCUUCAAACACCCGACAUCGGGAGGAGAAAUGGAGAAUUAUAUAAAAGCUCGAAUUAUUUAUUUUUCGACUAA